GAGGGUACAGCUCAGUGGUUGAAUGCAUGCCUAGAAUGCAUGAGGUCCUGGGUUCAAUUCCCAGUGCCUACA
rnacentral:tRNA from 1 species